UAUGCGCUGGCUAGCGCUAGCAAGUAGCAAGAAUGGCGCUCGACUAUGGAGUAAAGGGAAGAUCUAUUCUUGAACGAUGCGUCAACGACGCAGUGAUUAUAGCGAGCUGAGUGAGGUCCAAGCUGAGUCGGUAAGGGGUCCCGAUCUGGAGCGCUUGGGCCGUGUCGUUGGAUGGAUGAUGCAUCGAAAUGCUGUUCAAGCAACGAUUGCUGGACGCUGGUCGUUUCCACUCGUAUAGGAAAAAUAGCUAAAGCCACUUGUUGACUUGGUACUUUUUGCAGAUAUAGCACAAAUUAUUUUUGUAUCAAUCAUGCAUAAAGAUUCCUGAACCUUACGCAAGGUAUUGAGCGAUACUAUAUAUUGUACAGCUGAGACGGCUGUCCAAACUAGAAGUCCAGGCCACUAUUUUUAAGCCAUUUUUAUGGAAUCGUUUUUACUUUGAUCGGUCGAUAACCAGAUGUGUUGAUUUACUGUCAUCUGCUCAAUUUCCCGUUUAACGGCCACAAAAAGAAACAACACAAACAAUAAGUAAAUACAUACAUGAAACAUUUUUCCAAAAUGAGUUUUUACGCUAUGGGUUGUUAUAAACGAAAGAAACUAAUUUUUCUUAUUUUUCAUUGUUGAGUAGCAUCGACUGAUGUCUGGCGUACCAGCGAUUCUAUAAUGCAAUGCAUUGGUCAGGUUUGGAGAAGCCCUUGUUAAAGGUCUGCUCUUGAUCCCAACCAAUGCAUGGCCAUUGGAGACUUGAACGAUGCCCCGUCCUGUCUACAGUGCUCGAACAGAUCCGAUCGCUGAGAGUGGCUGGUUUCAAUGGAAAUUUCAAUGAGUCGUGUUGUGCAAACAUUGAUGUAGUCUCGAGUAUGGCCUACAACAGAAGGCGCCAACCACCACCCCGAGACACGUACUGGUUCGCUGGCGCUAGUCCGCAUUCAUCCUACGAAGGUCUAUGGUCUCAUCAGUUCUCGCCGGGUGGACGAGAAACUCAUGGAGGAGGCAUUGUUAGUGGGGCUCCCAGGGGUCGCUCCGUGUUGUCAGGAGGCCCACCAGCACCCCUCAGCCUGCCGCGACCCGCUUCGGACUGCUCCGACCUAGCAGAAUCUGUCGACUCAUAUUCAAUAGGAGCUCCGUCCACGGUUUCAUCUGUAAAGUCUUCGAAACGGUCGUAUUGGUUCGCCCAGUCGGGGUCGGACGUGAUGGAUUGUCUGCGCCAUCCGUCAUCAGCUGAAACUGGGCACCCCUCCAGUGUGAAUCAACUAUUGACCGCAGCCGUCGCAACACAAGCCCCACAGCAAGGACAUCAACAACAACUGCUACAGCAGCAACAUGGCGUCUCUGCCAACGCGGGACUCAUGCACCAAACUCUUCAGCCUCAUCACUCCACACAAGUACAUUCAAGUUCUUCAAGUUUACAGAUCGGUCAACAACAGCAUCACACAGCGCAAUCCCCGACCUCCGCAUUGAACAGCUGGAAUAGCGGCGGCACGCAAGCGAACACAGAUCUACAUCAGGCAGAGCGGCUACGCGUGGAGGCCCGCGAGCGACAGGAGAUGUUGCAUCGGCGUCGAAUGGAAGAGUUGGCAGCACAUAACGAGAAUGCGCAAAGAAUCCGUGAAGAAGGUGAUACCGAUCGAAGACGACAUAAUCAAGAGCGUCAGGUGCUCACUGAAAUUCACAGACAGCAGGUGGAUGAACGUCGGCGUGCUUUGCACGAAGCUGACCAAGAGUGGCGCGAGGCCGUCUUGCGAAGGAGCCAGGAGAGGGAUCUAAGGGCAGAGCAGUACCGAAGGAACCGACUCAGCGCGUCCAUUCUUCUCGAGGGGAUUCAGGCGCAACCGGCAUCCGUCAUGUCCAGUCCUGCACGGGGGGCCUCUGAGUGGUCUCCGACGGUGCAUACCUGCCACUCUGAUCGGCUUGACGAGCUGCAGGUGCAAAUGUUGCAACAUUCAGAUUUACACAACGGGCAUCUUGAAUCGCCCGAAGACAGUGAAGAUAAGGUGGCUCCCCUGCCAACAAAUAUGUCUGUGAGAAUGACUAGAUCGCCGAGAAUGGCGUCCUCGUGUUAUGGCAAUCUGUGGGGUUCUGGGGCGCUUGUGCAGGAGGACGGCGAUCUGAUGAGCCGGAGUAUGAUCGUGACAUCGAGUGCUGCCCGCCGUAAGACGGACUUGACACCGGUGACGCCUUCGCCAUGGGCGCGCGGGCUUGGAGCCGGGUCCAAGGCACUGACACCCUCUCGGCCUCAGACUGCAGCGGGCUCGGCGGGAACGCCCAAGCGAGCCGUGAGCAUGUCUCGCCUGGACAUCCUUGCGCAACCGCGUAGGAGAUUCACAAUGGAAGACCUCAAGAGUAGGUCUCAUUCUGCAUGGAAACUCAACGACCCAUCGCAGUCGGGCCAGGCUGGUCAAGCUAAUGGUCUUAAAGGCAUGAAAGGCGCUCGCAGCAUGUCCCAUCUAAGUUCAACGCCUCAUCCGCCGCGUUUGACACGCACAUCCCAAAUGCGCGCAUCGGCACAGCAGUAUCAGUCCCAAAUGCAGUCAAGUAACAAAGGUCAUCAGUCAACUUCGUCAUCACGCAGCGAGCAGGUGUCCCCUACCCAUCAGCUGUCAGCCCCGCAUCAUCUGCGAUCUAGAAGUCAGAUGUCGUCCGACCUCUCGCAGAGCUCCGUGGCCUCCUCGGUGGGCAGCCCGCAUGCUAAUAUGAGGCCUAAAGCCCAAGGCUCAGCGAACCGGAAGGCUCGACCUUUGAGCAUUGCAGGUUCAAUCCCUUCGUCGGAGUUAGACAAGAAGGACAAGGGCCAGCCCCUGAUGAAACCCCAUAAACCAGUGCCGCCCGCAUCGUCACCGGAGCCGCAGGCCGUCGCCCGACAGCGGCGGUCCGCGUCGCCCAAAAAGAAGGAGCAGGUGCCGUUAACCAGGGAAGUUUUGGAUGACACUCUUACAUCCGAAGAAAUGGCGGUACCUGUCUGCAGCGCAGUGCCCGUAGAUAUCCCCUUACUGAUGACCCAAAGCUUUACCGAAGGUUGCAUGCCGAUCGAGAAUCGUCCAGCAGAGGUUCGCAAGACUAAAACGCGCGAGGAGGCAAUGGCCGAGAUUGCCGAGGCACGUCGUAAAGCCCGUGAGGAACUCGAAAAGCAGGCCGAGGAGGAGCGUCGUAAGAAAGAGGAAGAAGCCGCUGCUCGCCGUGCAAUUCAGGAAAAACGCCGUCAGCUUGAGGAAGAAGCGCGUCUUAAACGUGAAAAAGAAGAAGAAGAGAAGCGUCGCCAAGAGGAGGACGAACGCAAGGCGGAAGAGGAACGCGUUCGGCAAGAAGAAGAGGCCAAGCGCAUUUUGGAGGAAAAAGCCAAACAGGAAGCGUUCAAACGGCAGAAGAAAGAAGAGCAAGAAAGGCUCGAAAGAAAGAAACGCGUUGAAGAGAUCAUGGCGCGCACCAGAAAGGCUCGUUCUGCUGGUGGCAAUAAAGAGAGUGGAGACAGUAACGGACAACAGGGUGAAGCUACAGGCACCGUUGACUCGAAUGAAUCCAGCACGAAUGUCAGUCCCGUCAGGGAGCUCAAUGGAUCGGCUCCAGCAGGGAAGGCGGAACUGCAAUCAAAUAACGGUAGCUCGGUAGUCGGUAAUUCAGAUGGAGUCAACGAGAAGGGAUCUGUUACUUCUAGCCAGACCCGAAAUGGUCUAUUGAACGGCCACGGAGCAAAUAACGGUGCAGGACAAGAGAAGCCGGUCGCUCAAGAACAAGUAAUGAUCGCUCCCGCCGGAGGGAACAACCCGAAUGUGAUAGAGAAGAAGGAGAAGGAGCCUGUGUCCAUUGACAACUCGGCAAAUGGGCCUGCCUCAACCGAUUCUGGUACAGGGUCAGCCGAUUUCAAUUCGAAUAGCACCCAGGCGGUUAUCCAACCCGAGCAUCCGGCGAGCGGCGGGAAUAACAAUGUGCAACACGUCCAAGCGAAUACUCCGCCUGUCUUACCGGGGCAGGCUACGACCGCAGACGCACCUCUAAUCGUCCAAGGACCCCUCAUUCAAGGUUAGAUGUCCGCAUCAACUCCAUAUACUUCGCACCGGAUCAGCCAUUAGAUCACAUCACGAGUCGCAUAUUCACGCCUGCACCACCAUCUGUUAUCGUAAAUGUUUGAGAUUUUGCUAGUUAAUUGAAGAAAUGUACAUCACAGAGUAACAAGGACUGACUCAAUUGACGGCAACCGACGUGGAAACAGGAGGCUGAAAGAAAAAUGCGAUAUCACAGCGUAGAAGAGCGCUACGGCGAACAACGUAAAAUAACAACGUCAACGCCGAUGCGUAAUCCAAAAUUCAGGAAUCAAUUCCGUGGACCGCCGACAAGUGUUCCGAUAAAAUAUACUACCUAACAAGCUGCCGUUUUCCUGGCAAUUAGUGCUAACAGUAGUACCGCGAAAAAAAAAACCACUAUUCAUAGAUCACGUACAAGCUUGCGGGCUGUCUCCGCUCGCCCGUAACUGCAAUGCCUCGGUAAUCAGCUGAAAUGAUUACGAAACUAUUGAUCAUACUGUCAAGCUAGAACCAUCUUGAUAAAGACUUGAUAUCAACCAAUUCAUGGACUGGAGAGUAAAAAGAUAACCGUAGAACAUAUGAAGGCAGGUCUAGAAAAACAAGUUAUGACGCCUAAAGAACGGACAGGUACGGAAGGUAUCCAUAUAAAAAUACAACAGUUAAAUACUAGUUAUAGUAGCAUACCUAUGUUUAGCUGAAGCGCUCGGCUGUUGUUGUGUCCACGGUAAAACUACGAGCGCAGACGAACGGAAUCAGUCUAUAUGAAUGCUGAUAUAUACAUACAUGGAGAGAUAUACAACGGACAAAAGUGACCACUCUAAACAAAGAAAGUAUAUUUUAAGGCUGCAUAAAUAGAAAAGUGACAACUAAAAUAAGGAAGUGAUCAUUAUAAACGGUUGCGUCAAGGUGGAAUCUGCGGACCUAUUAACAUCUAUAUUAUAAUUACUGAAAAUUAACUAUUAUCAAGAUUAUUACCAGCACUAUUCUCACUAUAAGUUAUCCUAUUUUGACUUUCCGGACACUUCUUGGUAUGAGGUGCUGGAAGGCCAGGAGAGAAGUAGAUAACAGCGUUUCCAAUAUAUAGAAAAAAUUGCCCACCAAAUAGAUGCGUUGGCGAACGGUUAAUAAUGGAAGGCGUUCGUUUCGAAGUAGAUGAACUUGGUUAACGAAGCCAGCAGUGUUAAGGUAUACGGGCCUUGCGUAGCCCUGCUGAUCCAUCGAUUAUAGAUGUGACGAGACUGUCAAAUACGCUUCGGUAGACCGGUCGUAAUUUAGCGGUUGAAAACGUUCUUACUGUGAGUGGGAAACAGAUAGCGAAAUGAAGAAAUUGAAAUAGUUGACUCGAGAUGUCAAAAUAUUUUACGCGCCGUCGACUGUGCACGGAUUUAAGCCACUGCGAAAAUCCAUCUUUAUAACUGAGACCUAGAAGAAAAAAAUAAUGAAAACAGAAAUGAUGAAAUAUAGGUCUUACGGCCGAAAAAGUUCCCAGCUCUAUAAAUCAUCCGGGGAAGGGGGACCGACCGACCGACUGUUAACGCGCCACUAUAAUGAACCGAAUUAAAGCUUACUGGAGAUAUUGUUUUAACAGGACUUCGAUUUAGAAAAACGGGAAAAAAUUUCCUCACUGUGUGUGCCUCGCCGUACGUACUUCAGUUGAUAUAUCUGAUAGACAGUUAUUUGUGGACGUUGUCAUUUGAGGUGCUCGGGUUCGUCACGGGUUGCAAAACGUUUUUCGUUAACAUAGACAUCAGUUGUGGACUAUUUGUGCCCUGGUAUUUAACGCGCUGGCGCGAGUCCCCGUAUCAUUUAGCUGUUCGUUCGAUGCCGUUUUUCACAGGUACACAAUAUGCUUGGAAGCAACACGCGACAAAUUUAGAGGGAAACAGCGUUGGAAGAGGAACGAGGUCAAUGAUGACCUGAGGAAGUGAAUAAGUAAUGUUGUAUGUACUGUAAAAUAGCGAACAAAAAGGCGCAAAGCCGAGAAGUUAAUGAAGCGUGGUGGGGAGACAAGUUAAGUGAAAUUAUAAAAAGCAUUGUUUAAGGAAGGACAGGUUGGGCAUAUUAUCCCAUGCGAGGGUUUCCAGAAAUGACUAUAUACGUUUAAUUAUGUGCAAUUCCUGCACGCCAAGCGAUGGAGACCGAGCGGGAUACUGUAAUAAGGUAACAAAUACGAUAAAAACGGCGAUGAUGAUGGUGGCGUUUACCAUAUGUUAGAACAACACACUCCGCUAGACUCCAAGGGCUGCAGGUAGUUGUAACGUGCUGUGUAGCGAAGUGACAUACGCAUUCAAAGAAACGCCAAUGUUCUGAGGUUCAUUUAGUCCCUAAAAUAAAUUGUCACCGUGACGAAGGCAACUAGCCAUACAUCAGACCCGGCAUGAUAAUGAGGCGCGUGGCCAUCGAACGUUCAGCGGUGCCCCCACACCUCGGGGGCUCUGAUGUCCGACGCUCCAAUACUGAUCGGUGACACAGGUGGAUAUUACAGAACACGCGGAACCACCCGAGCUAUCAGUAUCACACACAACAAGAUACGCAAACACAUAUAAUGAUGAAGCCAAGAUACAGUUUGAUGAGAAUAUUGUGGACUUCAAAUUUAAUAGAAAUUCAACAAGAAGGCAGAGGAACCUCUCUCUUUCUCUUUCUCACACACAUAUAUAUGUAUAUAUAUAUACGUGAGAGCGAGAGAAAACAAGGAAAGGUAGAUAGAAUACUGAGAUGACUAUACGAAUAGGUACGAUAGAAACGAUUAAGAGAGGGAAAUAGUGAUAGAGAGAAGCAAAAAAGAUAAAAGUGAAAGAAAACGAAACAAGAUGGAAAUAUAUAUUAAAAAAUAAUAAAAUCAAUAAAAUGCUAGGGGUCAUAUUAAGCCGGUUCGAUUGUUAUUUUAACUCUGAAUGUUUUUUUGAAUGACUAUAUUUGUAUAGCUAAUUGGGUCGAUGACUUAAGACUUUCUAUUACAUCUUGCGACUGUGUUCCCAUCGAACUCUGCUUAUAUGGUGGCGGAUCUUAAAAGCCAAACGGAAGAGCAAAUAACAAAAUGAUACAAAACAAUACUAAAUACAAUAUUCAAUAAAAGCUCAAAUUCAAUAAACUUUUUCCUUGAAAAAAAAACUAAUGAAACAGCAUUACUCUAGCAAAACAGCAAACAUAACUUGUAACUACUCAACUUCGUAUCCUGAAAGAGUAAUAACAUGUACUAUUAGUUGUUACUCGGCAAGCUAAGGAUAUUUAGAAGAAUAAGCGACAUAGACAGAACCGCUGAUAUAUCCCGACUCUCCGAGCCAGCGACAAUGAGCGGAGGCGAAAACUAUUAACAUAUUCAAUGACGGAUGCGGUCCGGGUGCAGGGCACACCUUGGCCCCAAAAGUUAUGCUUGCAUUUUUCUUUUUUGUAGGUUCCGCGCUUGUGUAAAUAUCUUACUUCUAUGCAUUACACAAAAUAAAUUAGUAUAUGCAUCUAUG